GCGAUGCCCAAAAUCGGAGCGAAACGUAAACAAUAAACAGUGUCCGGAGCGCAGAUUUUCGCGUUAUGUUCUGUCCUUAAUCCCGGUAAACGGUAAAAAAAGUGUGCUAUAUUAAGUCGUUCCGCCGCGGAAAAGGUCCACCCAUUCGUUUUGAAAAUGGGUUUGGAUAGUGCCAUGCAGGACUACCUUAAGUCCCUGAACAAAAACUGUCCCCCCUUUCAAUGUCCCAAGUGUGACAAAAAGUACAAAUCGGUCAUUGGUUUGCAGUACCACUUGAGCAACUAUGACCACGAUAAUCCGUCACCGUCGACUUCCGGUGUGACACCAUCAACUUCGUCGGCUGGUGCUGCUGCCGGGAAGUCUGAUGAAACUCCGAUGGAAGUUGACCCGCAGACACCGGUAAAGGAACAGCCUUCCUCGGAUGAUGAAAAAGUGAAGGAGAAGGUUGCUAUUGAAGAGGAGAAAUCGGUUCCAGCAUCGGAGAAUACGAGGUCCAAAAACAAAAGAGGUCAAGGGGAAACGCCCCUUCGGCCACCGAAUAACAGUCGGCAGAAAAGUCAGAAGAAGAAGGGUCUGGGAGCUACUCCCAAAAAUAAAUCUAAACCACCUCCGCCGAAGGAAUGUUUGACCUAUCUGGAAACGGAUGGGUUGGUCAAAAUUGAGUUUGGUGGCAAGAGCAUCAAUUUGAUGGUGGAGGAAGAGUUUGAACUUCUGGGGAUCGAUGAGGUGAAAGCCAGUUUGGAAGAGGGCCAGGAACUGAUGGCGGUUCCUCCGCCCACUGAACCGGAAGUCAGCUUGCCGCAAGGUGUUUUCAAGGAGAUCGAAGAGUACAACAUUGCCGAUGCACCGCCGAGACCGAACGCGUACAUUCGAUAUAUUGAGAAGAGCAGCGAGGAGCUGGACGGGGAGGUGGAGUACGAUGUGGACGAAGAGGAUACCACCUGGUUGGCAAUCAUGAAUGAAAAACGGGCUGGGCAGAAUCUGUGUCCGGUUCCGGUUGACUCGCUGGAACUGCUGAUGGAUCGACUGGAGAAGGAAUCCUAUUUUCAGGCUGCAGUUACCGGUCAAAAUGGUGCGAUUGUAGACGAUGAUGCCGUUUGCUGCAUUUGCAUGGACGGAGAAUGUCAGAACACCAAUGUAAUUUUGUUUUGUGACAUGUGUAACCUGGCGGUGCACCAGGAUUGUUAUGGCGUUCCUUACAUCCCGGAAGGUCAAUGGCUGUGCCGGCGUUGCCUACAAAGUCCCAGCCGAUCGGUGGAUUGUGUACUUUGUCCCAAUACAGGUGGCGCUUUCAAGCAAACCGACAGAGGCCAAUGGGCUCAUGUUGUUUGUGCUCUCUGGAUUCCGGAAGUGCGAUUCGCCAAUACGGUGUUUCUGGAACCGAUCGACUCGAUUGAGACAAUUCCUCCAGCUCGAUGGAGAUUGGUUUGCUACAUUUGUAAACAGAAGGGAAACGGAGCAUGCAUUCAGUGUAAUCGGAGCUCGUGCUAUGCAGCUUUCCAUGUGACAUGUGCUCAACAGGCCGGUCUUUGCAUGCGUAUGGAUCAAGUUAGGGGAAACGAUACCCAUCCUGUAAUCGUUCAGAAGACGGCCUAUUGCGAUUCGCAUACGCCGCUUAAUGCUCUAGGAUCACCUGAAUCCGGAGCCGAAGCCGAUCCAAGAGAAGCUUCCCGAGAACGGAUGAAGAAAGCCCGAAAGAUGCUCGCCAUGAAGAGAACUUCUGCUCCGGUAAUUCUCAUUCCGACAAUUCCACCGAAUCGUGUGGAAGAAAUUUCCAGCUUGGUGAACUUUGCCAAGAAGCCUCAGUUCAUCCAACGUUUGAUUGCCUACUGGACGCUCAAGAGACAACAUCGAAACGGAGUUCCCUUGCUAAGACGUCUCCAAAGUCAGGGACAAUCAAACAGCGCGCCUCCACCUAUUCUCCCUCCGGCAGCAAUAGCUGGCAGAGAAAAAUCUGACGGCUCCCCCGAUACUCGUGAACUCUACCAACAACUGAAAUACUGGCAACAUCUACGUCAGGACUUGGAACGUGCUCGUCUUCUCUGCGAGUUGGUCCGUAAACGCGAGAAGCUCAAACUGAUCCAGAUCAAAACCGUUGAACAAGCAGUUAUGACCGAACUCAAUCCCAUGGAAGGAGUCCUUCACAAAAUCCUUGACCAACUCGACGCCAAGGAUAUACAGGAAAUUUUUAAAGAACCUGUUGAUACCGAAGAGGUUGCCGACUAUCGGGAUGUCAUCAAAAACCCCAUGGAUCUGGGAACCAUGCGUCAGAAGCUUAAAACCGGUUACUACACCACCAUCGAAGAUCUCGAAGCCGAUUUCACUCUAAUGAUCAACAAUUGCUUGACCUACAACAACAAGGAAACGAUUUUCUAUCGUUACGGCAUAAAAAUGCGCGAAGCUGGUACGAUAAUUUUCCGUACCAUCCGGAAGGAACUGGAGCGAGCUGGGCUGCUCGAAAAGCAUCACCCACCGGUUGUGGUGGAAACGGAGGACUCGCUGGCGGUCGACAUCGAGGCUGAGCUGCAUCUGCUGCAGCAGGAACCGCUCAGUUUGGAUGUGAUCGAAAAACUGCAGCAGCAAGUCACGAAAGCCAACGGCAUAAAGCACGCCUUGACGCGAACCAAGAAACUGAAGGCACUUCGUGCGGAAAUUUCCAAAGUUAAGCGAUUCCUCGCUAAGGAACAGGAGAAACAGGAACCGGCCGUCGAGAUUCCGGUGCUGGAGACGCCGAAAAAAACUUCAACUGAACCGGCGCCGUUUUCGAAGUCCCCCAAACAGCAGCAAACUCCGGCCGUUAGCCCCCUGAAGGCUCUGAACAGUAGCCCGUCGCCGUCCGGUGUCAACAGAAGAACGGCCGUCCUGUUCACCAGGAAGGCCCAGGCAGCGCUGAAGAAGCCGGAAAACCCUUCCAAGGAGGAAGCCGCUAUCGCAGAAACCACCGAGUUGCUGCAGAAAACGGCCAAAAAGGGUGGCCGUGGAAAACGGGGUGGUUCCAGUAAAACCAAAGGUAGCGGCGCCAAUGCAGCAGGUCCCAGCGGUCUUGGAGCGGGUGGCGAUGGUGCCGGCUUUCUGGGUCUACCGGGUCCCUCGGGAACCAAUCGCCGAUCGGGCGAGGAGAAGAAAUCUUUCGAUGCCAUCCCCGAUAGUUUCCGCGUUUAUCGCGGCGGUCAGGAUCGGGAAAUCUCCGAUUCGGAGGACAGUAAUCUCAGUUUUACCGGCAGUACCUGCAGUAGCUGUAGCGGGUUCAGUGGCAGCGGAACGGAUUCGGAAUUCGGAAGCUCCAGCAUGGAUGACGAUCAGUCAUUCUGUGACUCGGAAAUGUCGACCAGUGAAACGGAGGUAUUUCCGGAGAAACCAUUGCUAGAGCCACUAAAGUUGGUAUGGGCAAAAUGUCGAGGCUACCCGUGGUAUCCGGCGUUGAUAAUCGAUCCGGAGAUUCCGACCGGGUUCGUUCACAAUGGAGUUCCGCUACCUGCGCCACCCACUGAUGUGCUAGCCUUGAAGGCAAACUACGAAGAACAAGUAUUCUUGGUGCUGUUCUUUGACGUGAAGCGAACCUGGCAAUGGUUGCCGGCGAACAAGUUGGAGCUCCUCGGAGUCAACAAGGAGCUGGACCAAAGCAAGCUGGUAGAAUCGAGGAAGCCCACGGAACGGAAAGCUGUUAACAAAGCCUACCAGGAGGCGUUGCACUAUCACAGCCAGGUAUCGAGUGCCGACGGGCCUGUUGGGAAGUUGUGAAGCAGUUGGACGUUUGUUGUGUUAAACGUUGAAGCAGACGAUGAUGAAUACGGAUAAAUGUGUCUUUAGUAUGUAGAAGUUACAAUUUUGACAUGACGAUACAGUCACUAGUAGCGCCCUCCAUGUAACCUACUUGCAACAAUGGCCAAUGUUAAGAAAAAUUAAGAUUUUGAAAGAGAAUAGAAAAGAAUUAGAAGGAGAAUGCACUGAGUGGAUGCAAAGGAAACAGCCACGAACCGAUGAUGAAAAACCAAUGAUUUU